rnacentral:rRNA from 1 species
AACGAACGCUAGCGGCAUGCCUAACACAUGCAAGUCGAACGAGAUCUUCGGGUCUAGUGGCGCACGGGUGCGUAACGCGUGGGAAUCUGCCCUUUGGUUCGGAAUAACAGUUGGAAACGACUGCUAAUACCGGAUGAUGACGAAAGUCCAAAGAUUUAUCGCCAGAGGAUGAGCCCGCGUAGGAUUAGCUAGUUGGUGUGGUAAAGGCGCACCAAGGCGACGAUCCUUAGCUGGUCUGAGAGGAUGAUCAGCCACACUGGGACUGAGACACGGCCCAGACUCCUACGGGAGGCAGCAGUGGGGAAUAUUGGACAAUGGGCGAAAGCCUGAUCCAGCAAUGCCGCGUGAGUGAUGAAGGCCUUAGGGUUGUAAAGCUCUUUUACCCGGGAUGAUAAUGACAGUACCGGGAGAAUAAGCUCCGGCUAACUCCGUGCCAGCAGCCGCAGUAA